rnacentral:lncRNA from 1 species
CAAAAUAACGAGAAUGGAUUCAUUGAAAGGAAAGACUAUGCUUCUUGCGGUGCUUUUGGUUUGUGCACUUCUUUCAGAAGGUGCACCACUAAAACAUAUAGACUAUAAAAACUUUCCCCGAUUUUCAUGUGUUGGAAAAGGUGAUCAUGAAGGGAAGUGCAAAGCAUUGAAUCCACUCCCAAUUGAGAAGGGGGCAGCAAACCCAUAUAAGAGGGGUUGUAGUCCGAUUACAGGUUGUCGAUCGGGAUGACUGAAGGUUAUUAGGGCAUUGUUUGCAUUAGAGGUUCCCUUAAUAAGCAUGAAAACUUAUCCAAUG